rnacentral:rRNA from 1 species
GACGUAGGGGGCGAGCGUUGUCCGGAUUUAUUGGGCGUAAAGCGUGCGUAGGCGGCUGCGCAAGUCGGGUGUGAAAUCCCCAGGCUUAACCUGGGAACUGCAUUCGAGACUGCAUUGCUAGAGUAUGGGAGAGGGAAGUGGAAUUUCCGGUGUAGCGGUGAAAUGCGUAGAUAUCGGAAGGAACAUCAGUGGCGAAAGCGACUUCCUGGACCAAUACUGACGCUCAUGUGCGAAAGCGUGGGGAGCAAACAGG